rnacentral:rRNA from 1 species
AUUGAACGCUGGCGGCAGGCCUUACACAUGCAAGUCGAGCGAGCGGCGGACGGGUGAGUAAUGCCUAGGAAUCCGCCUGCUAGUGGGGGAUACCCUACGGAAACGGGCGCUACUACCGCAUACCAUCAGGUCUGCACAGAUGGGAUUAGCUAGUAGGUGGGGUAACGGCUCACCAAGGCGACGAUCCCUAGCUGGUAUGAGAGGAUGACCAGCCACACUGGGACUGAGAAACGGUCCAGACUCCUACGGGAGGCAGCAGUGGGGAAUUUUGGACAAUGGGGGAAAGCCUGAUGCAGCCAUGCCGCGUGUGUGAUGAAGGCCUUCGGGUUGUAAAGCACUUUCGGCAGGGAAGCGUUACCUGCAGAAGAAGCACCGGCUAACUCCGUGCCAGCAGCCGCGGUAAUAC